GACGAACGCUGGCGGCGUGCCUAAUACAUGCAAGUCGAGCGGAAGUUGAAGAGCUUGCUCUUCAACUUUAGCGGCGGACGGGUGAGUAACACGUGGGCAACCUGCCCUGCAGAUCGGGAUAACUCCGUGAAACCGGUGCUAAUACCGAAUAGUUUACGCCACCUCCUGGUGGCGUACGGAAAGACGGUUUCGGCUGUCACUGCAGGAUGGGCCCGCGGCGCAUUAGCUAGUUGGUGGGGUAACGGCCCACCAAGGCGACGAUGAGUAGGCGACCGGAUAGGGUGAUCGGGCACACUAGGACGGAGACAGGGCCCAGACGCCUAGGGGGGGGAGCAGUAGGGAAUCUUCCGGAGUGGACGACAGUCGGACGGAGCAAAGCAGCGUGAGUGACGAAGGUUUUCGGAUCGUAAAAGUCUGUUGUGAGGGAAGAACAAAUACCAACUAACUACUGGUACCUUGACGGUACCUCACCAGAAAGCCACGGCUAACUACGUGCCAGCAGCCGCCGUAAGAC
rnacentral:rRNA from 1 species